rnacentral:tRNA from 1 species
CCACCUGUACCAGGGCGUCGGGCCGUUCUUCGGCAACGUCGUGAUGGGCGUCGUCUUCGCCUGGUUCUACACCAGCCGGUGGG